CUAAUCUGUAUUUUGUAUAUAUUUUGGGGUUUACUUAAGCAGAACUACUGAGCUAUGCAUGUUUGGUGUGUUCCUGCAAUCCCCCUUUUCUCUGUGUAUAUUUGGAAUCCAGACCAGAUUCCUUUUGGUUUGAGCACCUCAGACACCCACUCUAGGUGCGUUUGGAGGCGACCAUAGCAUGUUUAUCUCGCAUGUUAAUAUUGGUGUAGGACCCACCGAUAUUGGGUUUAACACAGUAUGGGCAUAUAAUGAAGCUGAAUCUCCAUAUUUGUUUGUUAAGAUGGGUGAUUUUAAGUAGCCUUGCAAAAUGUUAAACUAAAUUAUUUUGUGUGUGUAUGUGAUGAUCUUUAAGUCAGAACUCAGAAUGUAUGUUCCAGACAUGGCCCCAAUUCCUGUUGUUUUUUUUAUAUACUAAAUGAACACGGUAAGCUAUACAUUAUAUACUAUUUCAAUGUGUUACAUAAAAAAUGCACUGAAAAAUAAAUGUAACAAAAUGUUUCGUCUUUGAAAUCCAUACAUUUGCUGCAAACACC